UCCAGUUGCAUAGAAUCUAAGCGUAAGC
rnacentral:sRNA from 1 species